rnacentral:lncRNA from 1 species
UAAUAUGCUUUGAACAUCAGGAGACCUAAGAGAUGUCCACAGUCCUGCUCAGUCUUCUCAUAAAUUUCUCAUCUUGAAGCGUCUUUCAAAGAUCCUAGCUGUGUAAGUGUAGAUUCUGCAAUCAGAAGAUGCCAGGAUUAUUUGGGUCUCAAAUUCAAGGCAAAUUUACAUUAAGUGGCAGAACCUGCAACUCAAGCUUCAGCGAACGUGAUGGGAAUAAGGAGAGAUUGUUAACAUGUUGGAUUCAUUUGAAGCACUUUUCACUUUAUAAUUUUUCACAUUUUUCUUGCUUAUUGUCUGUCACACUCACGUUGGACUAUGAGCUCUACUGGUGACAGAAAAUACAACUAUUUUUCUUAGUAAUUUAUACGCAGAAAUUAAGUCUAGCACAGAGUUGACACUUAAAAAAAUAUUACUGAAAUGACUGACUGAAGGAUGCGGGGAAAAGUGAAUGCAGAGAAAAAUGAGUGCACCUGGCGAGUAACAGGGAGAGGAAGAAAAGCUGGUGGAAUCCAUCAGCAAAGGUGCAGGUCCCCAUUCUGUGACAAGUCCACCUGAGUAACAAGGUAAUGCCGGGGGACUGGAGGAGCGAGAACUUGGACCUGAGGAACAACUGCUCUGCAGCUCAGCCAUUUGGAUUACAAUCAUCUGGAUGGUUUUUUUGCUAGUGUCACCUGAUGUCACUCACAGGGCUGCAAUCACCUAGCAGCAUAUGACUAAUUAGGGCUCAGUGGUCUCAGAACCUCAUUUAUGUGUCUGCUAAUUGGUUCUGACUGUUGGUAGGGAGCCUCCGUUCUCUUCCAUGUGGGCUUCCUUCUUCCAAUGGGCCAGACCAGACUUCCUUACAUGGUAGUGAUCAGGCAGCGUUCUACGAGGAUAAGAAUGGCAGCUGCAAAACUUCUGAAGCCUGGGUUCUGGAACUUGCAUAAUAUCACUCUUGCCAUAAGCUGUUGGCCAAAGCAAAUCAAGAAGCCAACCCAGAUGCAAGGAAACAGAAAAUGGACUGCAUCCUUCAUGGGAAGAGCAGCAGAGUCACAGUGCAAACAGACUUGCCAAGAGAAACGGGAGGAGUUACUGCACCCAUCUUUGCAAGCAGUCUAUCAGGCGUGUGUUGGACUUCAUUGUCAGACUGUUGGGCUUGAUUUGCUGUUACUACCCUCUGAGAUCUAGGGCUGUUUUCUGUAUUAUCUUUCUCAUAGAACCCUGUUCCUUUUCUUCUGAGCUGCUUUCUCAGUUUGAAGUUAUAGAUUGGAAAGUGUAGUAACUAGAUAUCUCCCCUCUUGUUUUCACUCACUGUUGUAUCACCAGCACUUAGAACUGUGCGUGUGACAUAAU